UACAAUGAAAUGAGCUGUAGGGGUAGUGAGAAAUCCAUAUAGAGGCCUAUAAGCAGGAGCUGGAAGGCUACUUACUGGGAUGUUUUACAUGAGAACUUAACUCCACUAUAUGAGCUGAAUGAAAUGACCCAACAGACUCCGAAAAUCUCAAAGAUUCAGAAGGAAUUUAGGAA
rnacentral:lncRNA from 1 species